rnacentral:rRNA from 1 species
AAUUUUGGACAAUGGUGGAAACCCUGAUACAGCCAUCCAGCUAGUAUGCUGAAGGCCUUAUGGUUGUAAUGAACUGUUGUAGGAGAAGAUAAGGUAUCUCACAAUACGACAUAAUUCUUACAAUCUCUACAUAAUAGUCACCACCUACACACGUACCAGCAGCCGCGGCAAUACGUAGUGUGCAAGCGUUAAUCGGAAUAACUGGGCGUAAAGCGUGUGUAGGCGGUUCGGAAAGAAAGAUGUGAAAUCCCAGGGCUCAACCUUGGAACUGCAUUUUUAACUGCCGAGCUAGAGUAUGUCAGAGGGGGGUAGAAUUCCACGUGUAGCAGUGAAAUGCGUAGAUAUGUGGAGGAAUACCGAUGGCGAAGGCAGCCCCCUGGGAUAAUACUGACGCUCAGACACGAAAGCGUGGGGAGCAAACAGG